AGUAACUAUUAUAUUCUAAAAGUUGUAUGAUAAGAAUUCAAUUAACCAUAUACGUGCUAUAAUUAUUUGUGCUAUGAAUAGUAGCUGGUGAUGUAGGAUUCAUUUUCCGAUUUACAAGAGAGAUUUACAAAAGAGAGGAAAUAUCAAUUAAUUUUUUUACGUUCUAUAAUAGAUUUGUCCUUGGACAUUAAAAAUAUCAUCAAGGGCAAUGAAUAUGUCUUAACAUAUGGGAUCAAUUGUUGUAUCAAAUUCAAAAAACCACCAUUUGAAAAAUUUGACCCUGGCUAAGAUAAACAUCAGUGAACAAUAUAUUAUAAGGAAAACUCUGUACAAGAUACUAGAAAUGCUAAAAGAUGACCAAGAAGCUUUUACACAAGUCAGGCUAUUAGACAACAAUCCCUUGUAAUACAGAGAAAGACUUGGAACACUCUAUAAUGGAAUAGCUUAGAUUUGCAAACAUCCGUAAACAAAGGAAAAAAUCUUAAAAGCAACUGUUUGGUAAAGAUCCGGAAAGAUUAAUAAUCUGUUUAAAAGGAAAGAAUAAGAGUUUG